GACGAACGCUGGCGGCGUGCUUAACACAUGCAAGUCGAGCGGUAAGGCCCUUUCGGGGGUACACGAGCGGCGAACGGGUGAGUAACACGUGGGUGACCUGCCCUCAGCUCUGGGAUAAGCCUGGGAAACUGGGUCUAAUACUGGAUAUGACUCCACGGUGCAUGUCGUGGGGUGGAAAGCCUUGUGCGGCUGAGGAUGGGCCCGCGGCCUAUCAGCUUGUUGGUGGGGGAUGGCCUACCAAGGCGACGGCGGGUAGCCGGCCUGAGAGGGCGACCGGCCACACUGGGACUGAGACACGGCCCAGACUCCUACGGGAGGCAGCAGUGGGGAAUCUUGCGCAAUGGGCGAAAGCCUGACGCAGCGACGCCGCGUGAGGGAUGACGGCCUCGG
rnacentral:rRNA from 1 species